UUCUUAGCCUGUUCACUUUGCAAAAAAAUGAGAAAGCUUCUUCUGGAGAGAAUACCAAGAGUGUGAAUGAACAACCAUUUGAUUAAGAGAUCAUGGGUGGGAUUCAUGGACUUAAUUAGUCAUCUCACAGUAGAAGGCAUCAGUAGAGAUGGGCUUAUACCAGCAGAGACACUGCCAGUUUGAACUAGAGAAAAAGUGGGGCAGAGUGAAGGAACGCUAUUGGAUUCUUGGAUUCUAUAAGAUGGGACCACAUAGCUAUUCAGUUGUGAACAUGCACUAUUCCUCAAGAAAAGGGAAGAAUAGUACUGAAGGUGAUGUAGAGAUCAUCAGGGCUGCCACUCCCACCACAGGCCCAGGGGUAAGGCCAUUCCCUCAAAGGAUAGGCCUGCUGCUCUGGUUUCAGUGGGCAAGGAUGACCCAGUACCAGAGGGGUAGGGCCAAAGCAGCGAGCACCUUGGGUGGGACCACUCCAGAGAGCUGAAGGGGCAGGCGGCCCUGCAGAGACAUGAGGGUGAUGCUGCCACCCCAGUGGGCCUGGAGGGCAGAGUAUCGAGACAAAAGAUGAUUAUUCUUGAGCCUUAAGAUCGAGUGGAAUUUGCCUUGCUGUGGUUUGGGCUUGCUUUCCACUUUCUC